rnacentral:lncRNA from 1 species
GGCGCCCGCCAGCGCUGGCUGAGGGAGAAACAGACUGAGAGGAUGGUUCCCGCCCAGGGUAGAGGCAGCCGCAAGCUGAGGACUGGGUCCGAAUUCCCUGGAGGGAGGCCAAGGCUCAGAGAAGAGACCUUGGCUAGUGAGUGGCAGAGGCUCCAGAAGUUGCUGCUAAAUUCCAUAUCUGCUGAUUCCUGCCUGGUGCUGUGUGAUUUUUAUACAAGUUUGAGCCUGGCAUUCGAAGCACUCUGGAGUCAGUCUCCAGCUUACUACCUACCGGAUCCUCAGAUCUCCAGGAUGAGGUGGUAAUAAUUCAUGGGGAUGAAGAACCCAGACUUUGUGGCAGACAGCCCUGGGUUCAAUCCCAGGCACUGUCACUUCACUAGCUGUGUGACCCCAGGCAAGUUCUGUAAACUCUCUGAGCUCGGGUUUCCUUAUCCCUAGUGACACUCACUUCAUAAGAUUGUGGGGGAAUCCCAUGAGAUACCACAUGUAAAGCUCUCAGCACCCAGCCUAGUUCCUUAGGCACUUAAGAAACAGCAGCUGUGGUUACAUCUCUGGCCUUAUCUCUAGUACACAGACCCCUUUACUCCAGUCUAUGCAUUUCACUGGACUUUCAUGGCCCAGCCUAUUUAUUUACUUAUUUAUUUAUUUUUGGCGCACCCACGGCAUAUUGAAGUUUCCUGGCAAGAGAUCAAACCCGCGCCACAGUGCCAAUGCAGGAUCCUUAAUUCACUGAGCCACGAGGGAGCUCCCAGUUAAUUUUUUUGAUAUUACUUUUUUAUUUUACUUUUUAUUUUACUUUUUUGAUAUUACUUUUUUAUUUUACUUUUUUUGAUAUUACUAUUUUAUUUUAUUCCUUAGCCAUUAAAAUCAUUCACGCAUGUAUUUUUCUACAUAACUUAUUGCGAGCUGAUCAAUGAAUGUUAAAUAAAAUGUUAAUUUUCAUCAUUUGCUUCAAUGCAUGUCUUCUUGACCAAGUCUUCAUUUUUUAUUCCAUAAUAUUUUAUGCCUCACCUUUCAGGCAAUAAAGAAUUUUUAUUUUUUUUAAAUAAUUUUUUUUUUUUUGGUAUUUUUAGGGCUGCACUUGUAGCAUAUGGAAGUUCCUAGGCUAGGGGUGGAAUCGGAGCUGUAGCUACCAGCCUAGCCAUAGCCAAAGCAAAGCCAGAUCCCAACCACAUUUGCAACAUACAUUGUUUGAGACCUACACCACAGCUUAUGGCAAUGCCGGAUCCUCAACCCACCGAAUGAGGCCGGGGAUCGAACCCGCGUCCUCUUGGAUACUAGUCAGGUUUGUUACCACUGAGCCACAAUGGGAACUCCAAUGAGGAAAUUUUAAACACCACAGCUAAGAACCUGAACAUUCAUCUGCAAGUACCCAUACGCUUCUUACAUGCAGUUGUGCUCUUAGUGGUUUUCUUACAGCCAUCUUUGAUGAUAAGUUUUGGGAAAACAUUUGUCAUGACAAUCUUCAUUCGCCUUCAACUUUAUAGGCUCUUUUGCACCUUGAAGAGCCUGGUGACAGGCCCCUAGGCACUGCUGCCCCAUCCAUACGGCUGACGGGUGCCUUCUUUCCUCAGCAGCCACACUGGAAAAAGCUUCAUGACCUAGUUUAAAUGUCACCUUCUCCAGGAAGCCUUCCCCGCCUGCCUCCCCUCUCAUGGUCAGAGUGCCUCUUUCCCUCUUGGGACCUUUCCUGUGUUCUACCUCAACAAACGAAGCUUUGUUUUCAUGUCAUGUUUAUCUGUUAGGUAAGUUCCAUCAAGGGACCAGGUGGUAUUUCUCCAUGCCCCUCAGCAUCCAGAGCCUGGCUUGGCAUGCAGAAGAUGGCUAACAAAUAUUGAUUAAAUGAUUCACUCAUCUUCCCAGCAAAAACUGGCAGAAAUGAAUUAGAUCUGAAGUCAGAGACUCAGCAGGCCCAGCUUCAAGCCCCACUCUCCACCCUUCCAGCUGAGCGCCCUUGGACAGGCUACUGCUCCACCUCUCAAUGUCCCGUUUCCUCAAUCAUCAAAUAUUGAUAAUGCUUCUGCUUGGCUAAUGUCACAGGACUUCAGGGAUAUUAUUAAAAUGAUGUUGGUGGAGUUCCUGUCGUGGCUCGGAGGUAACAAACUCAACUAGUAUCCAUGGGGACUCAGGUUCCAUCCCUGGCCUCCCUCAGUGGGUUAAGGAUCCAGC